rnacentral:rRNA from 1 species
GACGAACGCUGGCGGCGUGCCUAAUACAUGCAAGUAGAACGCUGAAGGAGGAGCUUGCUUCUCUGGAUGAGUUGCGAACGGGUGAGUAACGCGUAGGUAACCUGCCUGGUAGCGGGGGAUAACUAUUGGAAACGAUAGCUAAUACCGCAUAACAGUAGAUAUCGCACGAUAUCUACUUGAAAGGUGCAAUUGCAUCACUACCAGAUGGACCUGCGUUGUAUUAGCUAGUUGGUGAGGUAACGGCUCACCAAGGCGACGAUACAUAGCCGACCUGAGAGGGUGAUCGGCCACACUGGGACUGAGACACGGCCCAGACUCCUACGGGAGGCAGCAGUAGGGAAUCUUCGGCAAUGGACGGAAGUCUGACCGAGCAACGCCGCGUGAGUGAAGAAGGUUUUCGGAUCGUAAAGCUCUGUUGUAAGAGAAGAACGAGUGUGAGAGUGGAAAGUUCACACUGUGACGGUAUCUUACCAGAAAGGGACGGCUAACUACGUG